GACGUAGGGCGCGAGCGUUGUCCGGAUUUAUUGGGCGUAAAGAGCUCGUAGGCGGUUUGUCGCGUCUGCCGUGAAAAGUCCGGGGGCUCAACUCCGGAUCUGCGGUGGGUACGGGCAGACUAGAGUGAUGUAGGGGAGACUGGAAUUCCUGGUGUAGCGGUGAAAUGCGCAGAUAUCGAGAGGAACACCGGUGGCGAAGGCGGCCUUCUGGACAGUGACUGACGCUGAGACGCGAAAGCGUGGGGAGCAAACAGG
rnacentral:rRNA from 1 species